rnacentral:rRNA from 1 species
AUUGAACGCUGGCGGCAGGCCUAACACAUGCAAGUCGAGCGAGCGGCGGACGGGUGAGUAAUGUGUGGGAAACUUCCUGAUGGAGGGGGAUAACUUCUUGAAACGGUAGCUAAUAACGCAUACCAUCAGAUUUUGCCAUAUGGGAUUAGCUAGUAGGUGGGGUAACGGCUCACCAAGGCGACGCUCCUUAGCUGGUCUGAGAGGAUGACCAGCAAAACUGGAACGGAGACACGGUCCGGACCCCUCCGGGAGGCAGCAUUGGGGAAUAUUGCACAAGGGGCGAAAGCCUGAUGCAGACAUGCCGCGUGUGGGAAGAAGGCCUUCGGUUUGUAAAGCACUUUCAGCGGGGAGGCGUUACCCACAGAAGAAGCACCGGCUAACUCCGUGCCAGCAGCCGCGGUAAUUC